rnacentral:lncRNA from 1 species
CGUUUUAUGAUGGAAACAAGAAACAACUCAAAAACAUACAUAAUAAUGUAAUACUAAAAACCAAGUUAUAAUUUACUUAUAGACAUGAUUUUGUCUCACCAAUAAAUAGAGCAUUGAACUAGUUUUCCAAUGCAUUUGAUCGGGCCUCAUUCCGAAUUACAAAACUCAUUUUAGAGUGAAAACAGAGGAACCAAUUGAUUGUUGUCAUGGCCCAAUCGAUUGGAUCAACAUUCUGUCACGAUUUUUCACUAAAAUGGAAGGGACCAAUCGAUUGGUCCAUGAUAUCAAUCGAUUGACACCUGAAACUUUUCCAAAAAUCACAUCUCUAAACAUGUCUUCUUCCAUCCUUUACCAUUAUAAUCUAUACCAAAACAUAUACCAUCAUGAGUUCAUGUGAUUAACCUCCAUAACUUCAACAACAAAAUAUAUAAGCAACAAGCAAUCAAAGACAACAAUUUCAACAACAACAACAUGGUACAAACACAUAGCAUCAAUAAGAAGUAUGAACAACAACAAUUUCAUCAUAGAUUCACACAAAUCCUAACUCCCAAAAUAUAGAUUAUUUCCCCUCAAAGGCUAAUUCCUAUCUAGAACUCAUCUUGUAGAAAAAAAAGAUGAAGUUUGGUGAAGAAGAUGAGACGAAAUCAUGGUCUUGAUGAUGAUGAUGAUGGCUUCCAUGGAUAUCUACUUCUUCUUCUUUCAUUCCCUUUCCUUUUCUCCAUUCUCUUCUCUUCUUUCUUUAUUGAUAACUUUUUUUUCUCAUUUCUCUUAUUAUUCUUAUCCUUUCUUUUUCUUUCUUCUUAUC